GGCUACGGCCAUAUCACGAUGAAUGCACCUCAUCCCGUCCGAUUUGAGAAGUUAAGCAUCGUCGAGCCACAUCAGUACUGAGGUUGGAGACAACUUGGGAACCUGUGGUGCUCUAGUCU
rnacentral:rRNA from 1 species